rnacentral:rRNA from 1 species
UAAGGAAUAUUGGUCAAUGGAGGCAACUCUGAACCAGCCAUGCCGCGUGAAGGAUGAAGGCCCUAUGGGUUGUAAACUUCUUUUAUACGGGAAGAAACCCUGAUACGUGUAUCAGGCUGACGGUACUGUAAGAAUAAGGAUCGGCUAACUCCGUGCCAGCAGCCGCGGUAAUACGGAGGAUCCAAGCGUUAUCCGGAUUUAUUGGGUUUAAAGGGUGCGUAGGCGGAAUAGUAAGUCAGUGGUGAAAGCC